CAGAUUCUCCUCACAAUAUGGAGCAAGAAACAAAGAUGUUGGAACAAGUUUCCGGAAUGAAACUCACACAAGAGACCAAGAAACUAAGGCAGACUUUUACUUGUCUUGUAUAUUCAUAUUCUAAGUAGUAAAAACAGCACUUAUUAGAUGAUUUAAAUACAUUAUUAGAUAUUAAUAUAGUUUAGGGAACUGGAUGGUAGAUUUGACUAAUUAGUGUUUAUUGCGAAUUUGCAAUGCUUGUAUUUUGGUAAGUUUAGUAAGACAAGGUUUUGUAUAAGAGUUAUUACUUUUGAUUUUCAAUAAUAAAAAAUUAUAUAUUAUAUUAA